rfam:Schistosoma margrebowiei strain Zambia genome assembly, scaffold: SMRZ_scaffold0001277
AUCCAGCUGACGAGUCCCAAAUAGGGAGAAACACGCGUCUUGGAU